rnacentral:rRNA from 1 species
UAAGCACCGGCUAACUCCGUGCCAGCAGCCGCGGUAAUACGGAGGGUGCAAGCGUUACUCGGAAUCACUGGGCGUAAAGGGCGCGUAGGCGGAUUAUCAAGUCUCUUGUGAAAUCUAAUGGCUUAACCAUUAAACUGCUUGGGAAACUGAUAGUCUGGAGUGAGGGAGAGGCAGAUGGAAUUGGUGGUGUAGGGGUAAAAUCCGUAGAUAUCACCAAGAAUACCCAUUGCGAAGGCGAUCUGCUGGAACUCAACUGACGCUAAGGCGCGAAAGCGUGGGGAGCAAACAGGAUUAGAUACCCUGGUAGUCCACGCCCUAAACGAUGUACACUAGUUGUUGGGGUGCUAGUCAUCUCAGUAAUGCAGCUAACGCAUUAAGUGUACCGCCUGGGGAGUACGGUCGCAAGAUUAAAACUCAAAGGAAUAGACGGGGACCCGCACAAGCGGUGGAGCAUGUGGUUUAAUUCGAAGAUACGCGAAGAACCUUACCUGGGCUUGAUAUCCUAAGAACCUCUUAGAGAUAAGAGGGUGCUAGCUUGCUAGAACUUAGAGACAGGUGCUGCACGGCUGUCGUCAGCUCGUGUCGUGAGAUGUUGGGUUAAGUCCCGCAACGAGCGCAACCCACGUAUUUAGUUGCUAACGGUUCGGCCGAGCACUCUAAAUAGACUGCCUUCGUAAGGAGGAGGAAGGUGUGGACGACGUCAAGUCAUCAUGGCCCUUAUGCCCAGGGCGACACACGUGCUACAAUGGCAUAUACAAUGAGACGCAAUACCGCGAGGUGGAGCAAAUCUAUAAAAUAUGUCCCAGUUCGGAUUGUUCUCUGCAACUCGAGAGCAUGAAGCCGGAAUCGCUAGUAAUCGUAGAUCAGCCAUGCUACGGUGAAUACGUUCCCGGGUCUUGUACUCACCGCCCGUCACACCAUGGGAGUUGAUUUCACUCGAAGCCGGAAUACUAAACUAGUUACCGUCCACAGUGGAAUCAGCGACUGGGGUGAAGUCGUAACAAGGUAACCGUAGGAGAACCUGCGGUUGGAUCACCUCCUUUCUA